rnacentral:rRNA from 1 species
GAGAGGAGCUUGCUCUUCUUGAAUGAGUUGCGAAGCGGGUGAGUAACGCGUAGGUAACCUGCCUUGUAGCGGGGGAUAACUAUUGGAAACGAUAGCUAAUACCGCAUAACAAUGGGUGACACAUGUCAUUUAUUUGAAAGGGGCAAUUGCUCCACUACAAGAUGGACCUGCGUUGUAUUAGCUAGUAGGUGAGGUAACGGCUCACCUAGGCGACGAUACAUAGCCGACCUGAGAGGGUGAUCGGCCACACUGGGACUGAGACACGGCCCAGACUCCUACGGGAGGCAGCAGUAGGGAAUCUUCGGCAAUGGGGGCAACCCUGACCGAGCAACGCCGCGUGAGUGAAGAAGGUUUUCGGAUCGUAAAGCUCUGUUGUAAGUCAAGAACGAGUGUGAGAGUGGAAAGUUCACACUGUGACGGUAGCUUACCAGAAAGGGACGGCUAACUACGUGCCAGCAGCCGCGGUAAUACGUAGGUCCCGAGCGUUGUCCGGAUUUAUUGGGCGUAAAGCGAGCGCAGGCGGUUUGAUAAGUCUGAAGUUAAAGGCUGUGGCUCAACCA